GCGCUUGCUUCCACAGCACAUAUGCUGGAAUUGGAGACAUGCAUAGAUUAGCAUGGCCCCUGUGCAAGGAGGACACGCAAAUUUGUAAAGCAUUACGUAUCAAA
ensembl:snRNA U6 U6 spliceosomal RNA